AAACCAGCACCUCAAGUGGUCAGGAGGAUUAUUGGGCCUAAAGCAUCCGUAGCCUGUUCUAUAAGUUUCCGGUUAAAUCCAUUAGCUCAACUAAUGGGCCGCCGAAAAUACUGUAGAACUAGGGAGUGGGAGAGGUAGACGGUAUUCGGUAGGAAGGGGUAAAAUCCUUUGAUCUAUUGAGGACCACCUGUGGCGAAGGCGGUCUACCAGAACACGUUCGACGGUGAGGGAUGAAAGCUGGGGGAGCCAACCGGAUUAGAAACCCGUGUAGUCC
rnacentral:rRNA from 1 species